UGCCCCAACCUUUAAUGAGUAUGAGGAGGUCUCUGGAAAUGAAGAGAGAAAUGACUGAAAUUAAAACAAAUUUUUUCAGCUUAAUUUGUACAUCCCGUCAUUCCCAGGAAACCAAGAUGAUGUUUCAGAGUUACAGAGACUACAACAGAUGAAAACAACCAAAAAAUCAGAAAAGUUGUCUUACGUAGAACUGAAAUGAAGCUACUCUUGUCAACCAAAAUCCAUAUUCCAAAGCCAAGGAUCACAGCACCCAAGAUCUGAAAAACAAGAUUUGGUUACUUUUGCUACAUACAGUUUUGAAUUUCAUAUCAUAUACUUGUUCAGCACUUUGGUAAAAAUAAAUAAAUGCUUUUUCUAUCUAUAA